rnacentral:lncRNA from 1 species
GAGUACUUUUUUUUUUUUGGGCAAAGGAAUCUAUAGCCGUCAUUCGAGAGUGCGUACUGAAUAAACAGUGCCCUGUGCAAUAAUCCUUUAGAGUAUUUUAUCAUUGAUUUGAUAUAGAGCCAUCCAUUAUGCUUGUUUACUAUAUCUAUCUGAAAUCUUGUAUCCAACAAAUGUCAUUCUACCCUAAUGGGAACAUGUGACAAGAAUAUCGAAGAAAAAGACACGAAUGGGGGUUUGGAGAUUGGUUAGAAGUUAGAACUGAUGUUUUGUAGUAACAUUUUUCUUAUAGUGCUAUCAUUGAAGAAGAAGGCAGUUGGAAGAAGCAUGGCUUUGAUCCAUAUGCGUAAAUGCAACGGGUGGGUCGUUGACAGCCAUAGCCGCAAUUGCACAAAAGAAGAGAUGAAAGCGGUGAGAUCAUAUCAAAUUGUCCCUUGUUUUGCGCUCCCAUCGGUCUAAACGCAGCCACUGGAUGAAGCAAGCCAUGACACCAGACAAAAGCUAGAAAAGAGAAUUCUGACAAGUCAACAUGUAGGUGGGUUUUUGGUAAGGUUGACCUGCGUAAAAUGGACCAAUUUCGCAUGGGGAAACUUGGUCACUCGUGACAUAGUCAUCAAGAUUGUUCUAUAUAGGGAGAUUCUAGUUGCGGUGAGCUCUCUCUCUCUCUAUAACAUAGGUCUCGUUUGGCACGUGAAUUUUUUGAAUGUUUGUCUAAAAUUUUACUGUAACUUACUGUAGAAAUUUUUUAAAAAAAAAUUUGAAGUAUAUGUUUUUUUUGAAUAUUUUGAAAUAUAUAGUUUAAAAAUUUUGAAAAAUUUUUUAAAUUACUGUAACUAAAGUUUUUAAAAAACUUGUAGCAGACAAACUUGGCAAAAAACUCAAGUGCCAAAUAGGGUCAUAGUUUGACUAUUGAAGCAUUGAUACGAGUUAUAUGUUUGUUGUCCGAAACUGGGGUAACUUUCUUAUUUGGACUAUGGAAAAUGUUCCUUUGGGCACCUUGUUAAAAUUCUUAUAUAUGCAUGAUGUGGUUACCUCGUGCCACCUUGGUUACUCAAGUCCAACUAAAUUAAUUAGGUAUUUUCUAUUUUGGUGCACCAUAAGUAUGUGAAAUAUAACUAUAUAAGGAGUAGAUUCACUUCAAAUUUUAAACAUUAUUAUUUAGGAAAUUUUAGUAAAGAGAUAUUAAACUUUUCCGAACAACUAGCAUCUAGAUUCACCUCUUAUCAUGCGCAUUUAGGAUACACAAUUAAUAGAAGAACCCAAUUAAUUAAUAAGAUUUGGAUAAUUGCACUCACUGUCAAUUGAUUUUGUGUAUACGUGACUGAACUGGAUCGUUGCCCGGAUACACAUAACUCGGACUCUACACCAUCGGGCUUGGCUUCGUAGAGUUGAGAAGACCAACUAAAUUAAAUAAUAAGAUUUUUGGCUGCCAAUUGUAAUUAUCUUGACCUUAUAAUUUUUAUGUCAUAAAAAAAAAAGCAUGGGAUUACUAAAAGAAUGGAUAAGUUGUACAUUCAAGCGUGUCUUUAAACCGUGAAUAAAUCAUGAUGCAAAAAUAUUUAGAAAGAUACAAACGUUAUGGCAUUAAAACAAGAAAUUAUGGCAUUAAAAUAAGAAACGUCACAGAAAGCACUAAGAGGGAAGCCCCCAAUUGCUUGACGAAUUGGUCAGGAAAAGAACAAGAAUUGCUUUGUCAUUGCCUUCUUUAAGACUCGGAAGUCAAGAGCAUCAUGUUAGUGGAUUUCAGUGUCCAUUUGUGACAAAGAGGAACUUUAAUUGUCGAAGCGGUGCAAAAUUGAUUACUGAAUUCAUGUAUGUAUAUCUGCCCAUAGAGAAUAAGCUUCAAAAAUGGUUCUUCAUUCAAUAGCAUUCAUGCAUGCGUCCUAAAUUUCACAAGCCAUAAAAUGCAGGCAAGCUCUUACGUAGCAAAAAUAUAAUACAAAAUCUUGUACGUUUGGAAGUUUAGAUACUCCCUCCGUCCCACUUUGAUAGUCCUGUUUCCCUUUUUCAUCUGUUCCAAAUUGUAGUCCAGUUUUCAAUUGAAGAAUGUAGUUGUAUUUUAAUUUUUCUAAAAUACUCUUAUUCAAUAUAAGUUGUUGUUACUAUAAAUCUAUCCCAUUUAAUGAGAGUUAAUUCUUUUUUUACCAUCAAUUCAAGUUCCCAUAAAGUUGUACUCUAAUUAAUGUGAGGGUAUUUUAGAAAAAUAGCUACCUAAAUUGAUUGUUCCAACAAAAUUAACUAUUUUUUCUUAAACUGUGUAAACAAAAAAAUAUCAGGACUAUCAAAGUGGGACGGAGGGAGUACCAUUUGUGUCUGUGCUUACGCGCUUAAAACUUCAAACCAAUUCUUGCACCAUAUGGUCAACUAUACAAAAAUAGAUUGGUUAAGUUCCCAUGCAAUUGCUACAAACCUAAAGUUAGGAAAAUUCUUGCUAUUAUUUACAAUUUUUUCGUAGAAAAAUCAUGUUCCUACAACAUAUGCUGUUUAUUUGUUAAAACAUUUGGUUUCUGAUGACUCAACAUUAUUGUUUUCGUACAAGAGUUAGUGUACAUGAACAAAAUAAUAUUCCAUACACUUAGUACACAACAAUAUAGCAUAACCGUAACUCAUACCAUAUAAUAAACACAUCAAUAGCAGACAAACGGGCUAUCGGUAAUUGUACUUGUCCAAAUUCACGGUGAAUUUAGUCUCAUAAUUUUCAUGUAAAUGUACGUUCAUAGUGAUGAGCCAUUCUUUUAUCAUUGCGCGUAAGCUUAUUUAUGUAGGUUUUAUGGUUCAUUAUUGUGUGGAAUAACGUCUUCAAUUCUACAAGUAAUCGAAUCAUGACUACCCUUUUCUUAUGUGACACAUGUAAACAAAAAAAAAAAGUCCAAAACAUAGUCAAUCUAAAAGCUUCAUCUUCCUUGCAGAAAUGUAGAAAAGGCCAACUUUAUUUAUUAUAGUCAUAGGGCAAAUACAUGUAGCAGUAGUAGUAGUAUUUAUACUUUCAAGAUUGCUUUUGACUUUACCUGAAAACUAUAAAACCAUCCAACAUUUUUGUCGGAUACUAGACAGCAAAUUAACAAUAGCAGCCUUAUCAAACACUUCAAACAAUGUUGUAAUAACUCCGCUUGAGCAAAGCCUCCGCUGACUCUUUUAUUAACUUCCAAGCGGCACACACGUGGCGUUCUUCUGUGAGUGUGGCUCCCACUGCAAAUCUCAGCAUGUACACUUCACCAGCUACAGAGUGAGUCAUGUAGAGUCGACCCGUUGAGUUAACUGAGUCCAGGAGUUUCUUGUUGAGAAGUUUGACGUAAAACGGGUCGGAUUCUUUGAACGGGUUCAACCUAAAACACACCAGUGAAAAGGUUCUUGGCACGACUAUCUCGAACCAUGGGUCCGACUUGACAAACCCUUCAAACAUCUUGGCCAUUCGGACAUCUGAUCGAAUGUGACUCUGAAGAUUUGCGACACCAUAGCUCCGCAUAAUGAGCCACAAUCGGAGUGCUUUGAAUCGUUUGCCGGUUCCGAUUUGCCAAUCCUUAUAAUCCACCACCGAACCCAACUCGCUGCGUUUGUUUUUCAAAUACUCCGGAUUUGUGUUGAGCGCCUUAACUAGCAAGUCGGGUUUCUUGACCCACAAGCAACUACAGUCCAAGUAACUGAGUAGCCACUUAUGCGGGCUUAGACUCAGUGAAUCAACUCGCUCGACUCCAUCUAAAUAGUGUCGGAACUCGGGACAAAUGCAUGCGCUGCCUCCGUAGGCUGCAUCCACGUGAAUCCACACCUCGUGCUCAUUUGCCACCUCAGCGAGCUGACUCACUGGGUCGACGGCUGUGGUUGAAGUGGUCCCCACAGAAGCACAAAGAAAAAGUGGGACCAAGCCUGAUGCCACGUCAGCUUCGAUCACUCCACGUAGGACAACAGGGGAUAAGGCAAAGUUGCUAUCAGCGGACGCGGGAAUUAUUCUAAUGUUGCAUGGAAAAAUACCAGCCAACUUGCAAGCUUUAGAAUACGUAGAAUGAGUCUGAUCGGAGCAAUAAACUACAAGCUUGCUGAUUCCGGUGGCGCCGAGGCUCUUGAGAGCCCGGUCACGGGCGGCAACAAGGGCACAGAGGAUGGCUUCACUGGUGGUUCCUUGAAUGACACCACCGCCAGAGCCGGAAAACAUGAAAGACUUGGGAAGUUUAAGCAGCUGAGCCAACCAAUCCAUCACAACCAUCUCAAGCUCGGUGGCGGCCGGGGAGGCGAGCCAGUUGAACCCGACAGCGUUGAAGCAAGUGCAAAGCAUCUCCCCGACGAACGCAGCUGAGCUCACGGUUGCGGGGAAGAAUGCAAAGAAGUUAGGGCUUAACCAAUGAGUCAUUCCAGGGAUUAUGUCGUUUUGAAUAUCCCUGAGAAUGUUGUCGAAUGGUUCAGGCUUAUACGGCGGUGUUUCGGGGAGACGGUUUCGGAGAUAUCCUGGCUCAACUUGGCUAAGAACUGGGUAGUUUUCAAUGUUUUUGUAGUAAUCAGCUAUGAAGUCGACCAUUUGGUGGGCUUGUCUUCUGAAUUCCUCAGGGUCAAGUGGUUUAAAUUCACCAACUACUUUUGAUGAGGAAAAAUAGACAUUGUUUUCAUGAAGACUGCCCAUUGUUAGUUUUACUAUGAGCAAUGAAUGAGAGGAAUGGAGAAAUACACAUGUAGCCAGUUGUCUUAAAUAGUAAUACUCCAUGGGAUGUGAUGAAGUUGAUCUGCUGCGUUUGUACUGAAAGGUGGUUGGGGAAACUUUAAAUGAAUUAAUGAGUUAGAGAAGUGUGUGUGUGUGUGUGUGUUUUAUUUCUUUUUCCCUGUAUGUGAGACAGAUGUAAUGCAGUUUUUUUUCUUUGGCAGGUUUGAGAGAGUUCUUAUGAGGUGGUGCGGAAGAGGUUUAAUUCAUAGUCAAAUAUGUAAUUGGCUUUUCACACCACAUAUUUAAGCUAGUUUGAUCUUGAAGAUGACGAGAGUAUUAGCUACCAUAAAUGAGGGUAUCAACUACUAACAACAUAAAUUAUUAUACUUCCCCCUUUGCAUUUUGUAACUAGGAGUAAGGCUCUUUCAUCUCAUAUCUUACAUGUAGGGUUUUGGAAUAAGGGGCACAAGGGUGAGAGCGAUAAAUUGAUCAUUUAUCUAAUACUCGUUGUUUAUUGGGAAAAGGUUUUACUUUGUAUUGGAAAAUCCAAUCUGCUCUAUUGCACAAACAUGCACGGCAACAAAUGGAGAAAUCUCUUGAGUUAUGGAAAAGACUCCAAAAUUCGUUAAGAGAUAAUGAAAUGACAAAGCUUGAGUGGAAAGAAGAAGCAAGGAAUGGUCUUCAAGUAAUUUUUUGUUUUUGGGGUAAAGGCCAAGUAAAACUUACUUGUUUGGAAGGGGACUGGGAAAGAAGAAAAAAAUAGAUAGGAGGGCAGGGUGCUUAAACUUACCUGUUAGCAAUUUUAGGGAAAAUUUUAUGUCCCACUAAGAUAAAAAAAAUUACCUUAUUUUGUUCUUAAAGGGUUAUAAUGCAUAUAGGUGUAGAUUCAUCUCCCAAGAUAUAUCCUUCUAAUUUUCGUCAUGAAGCUUGAGUUUUACCUGAUAUGAAACACUUGAAGUAAGAAUGAGUAAACGUCACAUAUGGACAUGUGCUAUUGUUGGAAAUAAUUGAGUUUGGGCUAGGAUUGACUCAGCUGAUAAGGUUUGUUCGUUCCAAUUUAAGGGAAGCUCGAUUUCAAAACCUGCUACCCUACUACCACCGUCUAUAACUCUAUUAUAGAGAUAUCCUUUCUUUCCAUAUUAAGCAUGGUUUUUAAGUUUAAAUUGCGUUUAAAUUUGGCAGUAAAAGUAAUUCUUGAAUUCACAUCCAUAUUUUCUUGAGUAGAUUUAACGUUGUAAAGGUAAUCAAUAUGAAAAUUUUUAAUUACUCUAGGACCCAAUAUAGAUAAGGAAACAGAAUUUUAUGAAUUAGAGUGGUUCAAUGAGGAGUAAGUUUAAAAUUUUCUAAACUAUCUAAGCUUAAUAUGUUUUUUUUUUCUUUUUGAAGAUUGAACACCCUCUCAAUUAUACGUGGCUCUGACGCUGACAAGAACUACCCUAAAAAAAAUGGUCUUGAACAACCCCUUAGCUUAAAAAUGGCCUUGAAUUUUUUAUUUUUUUUAGCGUUACGUUAUCUUUCAUAAUAAAUGAAAGAAUCAAACUCUUUUUAACUUCCAGUUAUACCUGGCAAUUGGGCGGGUUGGGCGGAUUUUGGGCGGGUUAAUGUUGGGUUUUCGUUUAAAUGGGUUACACCCAACCCGCCCAACUUUAGAGUGGGUUAAUUUUGGGUUGGGUCAUAUUGGGUCAUCUCAAACCCAUGACCCAAAUAUGACCCAAUAUAUUAAUUAAUAGAUUUUGAUACAUAAACUCUCUCAAAUACAUUUUUACAUACAAAAAAAAAAAAAUUUCACACACAUAAACACAUUUUCACAUAGAUACACAUAAUUUUACACACUAAAACACUCAUAGACACAAAAAUAUACUCACUUCUUAAGCUAUUUUGAAAUAUGUUAUUUUUACACAUACAAACACAUUACAAUACACACUAAUAUACUUUCACAAAUACACACACAUACUAACUAUUUAAACUAUUUGGAUGAACUCACUAUUUUUUAUACAAGUAAGGAUUUUCAAACUGGGUAUAACUUUGGUCCAAACUAAGAGAUAUUUUAAAACUCAAAUUCUUAUUUAUUAUUGCAUGGGACACAUGUCAAUCAACUAAAUAAUGUAACAAGUGUAACGGAAAAAAUUAUAACAAAGAAUCUCUUGUCAAAUAAUUAGCUUUCAAUAAACCAUAUCUUUAUAAUUUCAACAUUUAGCAUAAAAAUCUUUAGUGAAAGGAUUAACAAAAAUUUGGCUAUUACUUCAAUAUUUAAUCGCUCCAUAAACGAAUUUUUACAACACUUGUCUCAGAAAUGUUUAUUGAUAUAUAUUUGCCAUAGGGACGACUCUCGGUCAACUAGUCAUAGGCUGAUGAUUCUUGCUCUACAAUAGCAGAGGUCAAAUUACGUUUAAAUGAUAAUUGCUAACCCCUUUACUAAACCAUCAAAAAGUCCAACCAAAAUACAGGGAACUUACUCAAAAAAUUAACACUUUUUUUUUUUGCCCCGGGUUUUUUUGGGGGGGGGUGGUGGUAACACUUUUGUACACAAGAAUGUCUUUUUCCAUUUGUCAACAGGAUGGGUUAUACUUGCAUAAAAAACAUACAAAGAGGGAAAAGUUGGGUAAUGGGUGCCCAACACAAAUACCCAAACCGCCCAAAAUAUAUAUGGGUUUUUAUUACCCAACCCAAAAUUUACCCAAUACCCAACCUCUUAAAUUAGUGGGUGGGUUGGAUGGGUUGUUGGGUUUUGGGUAUAAUUGCCAGCUCUACUUCCAGUCAUUGGUUGAUACAUUUAUUGGAAACUCACAAGUCAUAGUUAGUGCUAUUAUAGCAAGAACUCAAAUAGUAUAUAGAUAUCAUGAAUAAUUAUAAUCCAUUUAUAAGUGGAGUAAGUUUUUUAUACACUAUCAGGGCACAAUUUUUUUUUUUUUUACAAUAAUAGGUUUAGAUUAUGUCACAUAAUAUAAAUUCGAAUUUGAAAUUCGUAAAAAGUUAAUCCUUAUAAGCGAGCACAAAAUCGAACUUUCCUAAAUAUUUUUACACUAGGGAGAUCAACACAAAUGAGACAGGAUCUUGUAAAUACAAAUAGAUUAGUAGUAUUUCUUUUUCUAGUGCAAAGGGAGACUUCGAGGUCCAAACCUCGGAGGAAAAUGGAAAGGUAGGGGUUAAGUUUUCAUGAACGUGAUUUAUGAAACAAAAAAAUGUUCAUAUGUUGAUUGCAAUUUGCAAAUAAGAUGUCAAAACUUUGGAAGCAUAAAUUGAGAGACCGUGGGUUAUUAUGAAAUUGGGCUUGCACUUGUAUUGGGCCAAUUGAAAUUAAAUUCAAACGCCGACGGGUUAUGAAUUUACGAUUGUAGUUUUUGAGACCCAUUUAGGUUGUUAUGAAUACCCUAUUUAAAAGUUUAUCAAAAUAAUUCCUGGUUGUCCUUGUACAUUAGGUCAAAAUAAAAUUUUCAUUUAGUGAUCAAGCUCACCAUCCAAAGACUAAUUUAUCCAAUUUUUAUGAGUUUAAUGUACUAAAAAAAAUAUAUACAUCACAUUCUAAAAAAUAUUAUAAUAUUAUUUUUAAAAAUUUCCAAAUAAUCUUCAAUCCAAACAGACUCGCAUGCAUUUAAAAAUAGGCACUUUCAUUGAUCCUUUAAAAAUGACAGAACUAAUGAAUGAUUUUUUUUUUUUUUUUUUGUCUAAGCUUUCGAUUCUUUUUGAGUUUUUUUUCCCCUUCCCCUCGAGGACAAGCCAAAUCUGAUCUACGUGAUUUGUGCUUUUUUCUACAAUCAAAGUGUGAGAUUUGAAUCUGGUGCCCUGUGGUUAUUUAGUUCAAUCUCCUUAUUAAAUCAAUUGAAAUUAUUGUAUUAUGUCUACUUUCACUAUCUAAUACUCUAAUAUCACAAAUUAUCUAUAAAGAAAUAAAAAUGGGAAAAAAAAAGUUUACAUAGAGCACGUGUACGAAUUAACAAGUAAACGCACGUGUUCUAAUGGGUCAAAACCUUAUCCAAGUGGAAAUUUGGGAUUGGAAAGGUCAAUAGAGGGCUGUAGACUUUUCUGUUCCAGAUAGAAAUUCUUGUAUGGGAUUUCUAAUGAACGCAUAUUAAUAACCUUAAAUUUCAUCUAACCUACUUAUCAUAUAUAUAUAUAUAUACUAAAAAUUAUUAUCUUUUCUUACAUUUAUAUAUACUAGUCUAAACACCCGUGCUAUGCACGAUAGAUCAUAUUUUUGGAAGAAAUUAUAAUCGAGAGAGGAAUUUAAAUAGAGUAUGAAAUGUAUGUAAUUGUUCUUAUAAUUUAGGGCACAUGAAAGUGUAGUUAAAAAGUGAGAUUUUGUAGCAAUAGUUCAAUAUAUGAUAAAAACAUCCCAAUUAUUUAUAAAUUACCACAUUAAUGGAAGUUGGAUCCUGAAAAAAAAAAGUAGAAAUCUAUAGCAUAAAUUGAGUGACAUAUGGGUUCAAUUAAAUAUAACUGAAUAUUUAAUUUGAUAAGUAAAUGAAAUACUUACAAAUAUUUUGUAUUCGAUUUGAUAAUCUUCUAUGAAUGUGAAAACAUUCUUCAUACCAAUCAACUCUAAGUAUGAAUGCCAGUAUUGGGGGUUUAAUUAAUUCUGCUGAAUUUUGUGGAAUCCGUACUAUAAAUGAAAAUGCACGAUUUUUGCAUGAAUUAAUGCGUUCGUCGAACAAUGUACCUCAAUUUUCCUAACAAUUAAGAGCAUAUGGAAUUCAAAAUUAUCAUUUGUUUGAGAAAGUUUGUAAAUAUAUUGUAUAAAAAUAUAUAUGUAUAAAUAAUUUAUACUUUCCCUUUUAAAUCUUUAAGAUAAGAAUCAUCACACCGAAAUAUGAAUCAUGUGUGUUUGUCUUGAAGAACGGGGUAUAGAUUACCACUGGAAUCUCUAACUUGUAUGUUAACAUUGUAUCUGUUAAGAAGAAAGUGUGAUAUACAAUAAAAAAAUGUAAUUAAAAUUAAAGAUAUAUGAAAAUAAUUACCUGACAAUAGUGUCAACUACGUCAUUACAAUAAAUACAUACCAUUUUUGAAAAAUGAGAUUGAUACAAUUGUCCACAAUUUUUGCAUAACUCAUGAAACAUAUUGUCUAAGUUAACGCUUUGAAUGUAAGAAAGUAUCCUAAAAUAUUUAACCUAAAACCAUUCGAAAAACGUAUAGAUUACAAUCAUUAAUUCAAAAUAAUAUGUAGAUAAUUGUUCAUCAUAUAUCAUAUAUAUAUAUAUAAUAAAAUUGUAUUCUCAUUCUUAUCCCUUCAUAUUUUCUCUUUCCUACGUGGCUUAACGAGACGGCAAGUAGUUUCCUACGUGGCUUGCUCAUUUUUUCUUAUUUGUAUAUCAAUUCUUAUUUCCUAUAAGACGUUUUAAAUUUCAAAAGAAUUGUUAUCACUACAAGAAGUAGAAAAGUAACUAAUUUCAAAAGGAACCAUUAAUAACAGAAGUCAAUAUCUGAUGUUGGAAAUAGGAUUCUUAAUAGGAUUCUCAUUCUAAAUGCAUUAAUUAAUUUUAUUUCAUUUAAAAUAAAUAUUGCUAUAGACAUUGAGAUAAAUACAUUAAGUUGCUUAGACUUCCUUUUUGUGAAAUAUCCAAUUUAUUUUAGUGCUAAAAGAUCGAAAUGCAUAGUAUAAUUGUGUUUAGAUGCAUUUCACAACUAUUAAAAAAAUAGAUAUUUAUUAUGUUACAAUUAUUAGGUGUGUUUAAGAAUUAGAUAUGAAUAUUUUGAUCAUAAAAUAUAUAACUUCAUCUUAAUACCGGCAAAAAAUUGACUCCUAGAGGUAUAAAAGUGUCACAAGGACUUACAUUCGAGGGUGCAAGUGUAAUUAAUCCAAAAAGAUAAUGCUUAUUACCAUUGGCCAAGGUAAAAGGUCACUACAUAAGAUACUAAUAUACUACUUUACUCAAGACAUAGUGCAUAGCAUGAAAUUUAUGUAAAAUCUGUCAUGAUAACGCACUUUUAUUUCCUAUAAGAAUUCUUAAUAUUAUAAGAUUCUUAUUUCCUACACAAAGUUACGUAUUUCAAGAUAAACCUACUUUUAAUGUUCUUAGCAAUAUCUCUUUAUAUCCUUAUCAAUUCUUAUUUCUUAUGUCUACACUACAUAUAGCCUCUAAUAUAUUGAUUUCAAGCAUCAAAUUCAUGGUUAGGUAUUUCCAGUGCAAGCGGUUGGCACAUUAAAGCAUCGAGUUUGGGUUUUCCACUCUUCUUGAUUAUCAGAUACAUUUUCUUUCAAUACAUAUUUUUUUUAAAAAGGCAUGUUGAUCUUUAAUUGUAAAAGUUUAGUAACAUAUCUUGAAUUUUGUUUUUAUUUUCUAUUUGUUUUGUAUGAAGACAUAGGAUUAGUCACAUGUCUUGAAUUUUGUUUUUUUUUGUUUUUAUUUUCUGUUUGUUUUGUAUGAAGACAUAGGAUUUAAACAAGUACUUUCAGCAUUAUUUUUGUACGAUUUUUGCUAACAUGUUUGUUAAUUGAAUUUGGUGAUCAAAUGCGUAUUAAGUAAUUCAAACAAUUAGAGUUAUUUGAAUGGAUUUUAAAUCCUUCAUCAGAUUCCUCAAUCCAAGCAUAAGAGUUGAUAUUGAAAUGCUAGAAAUUUAAUCUUGGGCGGUCACCUUAGGCUUAGAUAAACAGGUAUACUCUAAAUACCGGUGACGUACUUGCGUUUAGAAUAAUCACAAAGAAUUCCAGCGCCAAUCUCCUUAACCUGAAUUCCACUGUUUCUUUUCCUUUUUGUUCCCUUGGACUGAUUUACAGUUCGAUAGCUUAAUCUCUUUGCAUAAUUUACUGAUUAUAUCCCACGAUGUUGAGAUGUUGAAACUCCGUAUUAAGUGUGGGGAUAAUCUGGCUGCAAAGAAAGAAUCUAAUACGUUAUUAAACAAAGCCCAGUCGGCAAACUUGACAGGUUUUCAUGAUAAAUUUGUGUGAUGUGAUUAGAUCAACAAUGAAACCGGUUUUUGUAAGUAUUCUCAAAAAACAAAUAGUAAUAAUGCUACUAAUCACGUAGUGAAGUUACCGGAUGAACAGCUAAUACGCUAAUGUUCGAAAUCAUGAAUUUUUUUUCCCAAAAGAAAAGCUAAAUUUAGGCAUUAUUAUUUCUGGAAUACUAAGUAAAGUAUGUCAUUGGAGUACUCUUGCUUUGGUUCAAGUUCAUUGUUGUGCAGCUAAAUUGCCUUGAACUAAAUAAAAUAGCCAUCGUAUUUGUAUAGAGAAAAUGAUUUGUAACCUUUGAUUUGUACUCGUAGUGUAUGAUUGAAAUUGCAAUCUUUGGAAGCUACGAGUCUUGCUUCCAAUUAUAUGGGAUCGUGUAUUGUUACACACGGUCGGCAAUCUUGCCAGCUAUACAUAUGCGUAUGCUGUAUUAGCUUUGGGUUAUCUUGGCGUGUAGAUUUCACCCAAGGAAAUGAGAUAUUUACUAAACAAACUAGAAUUCGAAGAAGUUUAAUUCUAUCUAAGUCAAAUCGAUUUACGUAAUUUUUAUUGCACUUGGGAUUUGGCAUAAAUCUAGAUAAUUUUGGUAUAAACCAUCAAAUUAAGCGUAAGAAUUUUUUUUUUUUUUCGAUUGGGGGGUAUCCUGGUCAAUUGACCAGACUAAUACCCCCAGGCUGGAAGAGCUCGCCCCAAGGAUUCCAGCGCUCUACGGGAGAGAGUCGAACACGGGACCUUACUUCUGAAGAGGAGGCUACUGGACCGGUCGCAUUAACCCCCGGGGACUCGUAAGAAUUGAUAAAUUCAAAUUUAUAUCUAACUACACGAAUUUAUAUCAAAAGUUGUAAAAAUUAUACGAUACGAACCUAUUUGAAUCGGACAGAACAGAAUCUAGGAGAUCCCCGAUCUUUUCUUUUCUUUUCCUUCUACAGUCAGAAAAUUGAAUGUAUGGUGAAUUCAGGUACAUCUUCUUUCCACUGCGUCUGCAUUCCUUCCAGUUUGUACAGGCAGGCUCUUCUAGAAUUGGACAUCUAAAUUCAUUCAUAUGCAAGACAGUUUUUUUAUCCUGUCUUAAUAAUCAAAAGUACGUCAUGCUUACUUUUUCCAUCAAAUAAUUUAUUAUUAUAUGCUAAAUUAUUUUAAUUAUUUAUUAAUUUUUUUAUUAUAUGCUAAAUUAUUUUACUUAUACAAAUUAGGACAUGUACAAUGAAUAUAACUUCUAAAUUUAGAUUCUUAUUUUUGUUGAUGUAAUUAUAUGUUUACAAAAAUUAAGUUUCUACCAUAUAUUAAAAUGCAAUCAAAUAUCAAAUAUAUGUAUAUAUGUGUGUGCAUGAAUGUGUGCGCAUCAAAUUCAUGGUUAGGUAUUUCUAGUGUAAGCGGUUGGCAUAUUAAAGCAUCGAUUUUGGAUUUUCACUCCUCUUAAUUAUCAGGUACAUCUUCUUUCAAUACAUAUUUUUUUUAAAAAGGCAUAUUGAUCUUCAAUUGUAAGAGGUUAGUAACAUAUCUGAAAUUUUUUGUUUGUUUUGUAUGAAGACAUAGGAAUUGAUUUAACAUGCACGUUUUCAAUCCCAAAAUGUAAUUGAUUAAAUGUUAUAUAUUUUAAUUGGUUCAAUGACCACUUUGGGUAAAAUAAAUUUUUUACUGUCCCAAGUAGAUAACUCUAAAUAAUUGAGUGAUAAAAUUAUGCCACCUGCUCUUUGUAAGCAGAACAUAACAAAACAAUCAAGUUCCAUUGAAAAUUUGUCAAAUGAAAUUUCCAUCGAAUUUCUUUAAUUGGUCACAGGCAUCGAAUCAGAAAUAAGUUUUAAGGGAAUCACACAUGCAGUCAUGCAUGCGUCAGUACAUUGAAAUGGGUGCACCCAUUCUGUGGAUAGCCUUGGAGUCUUUCUUUUGACUCAUUAAUGCAUGAUAAUUUAUUACGACUUUAUUAUACCGAACUAAAGUAAUGAUGUGCUAUAUACAGUUUUCAAUAGUCUUACAAAACAAGGAUUGACUACGUAUAUAGUCUAUUUGCAUUUCCCUACAACGAGUCAAUCAUAUUUAUCCUCCAUAGUUUUGAAAAUUUAUUUUGGUUCCUUUUGCGAAAUUUAUGUAUGUUGGUGUUCAAGGGUCAACGCAACAAGAUUUUCAUGGGCAUAAUAUAUAGUCAACUAACUCUACAAAUACAAUUUACUAUAAAAUUAUUACCCACUUUAAUACAUCAAAUAUCAUAAAAAGUGUGGCUAAUUAAAUGUACAAUAUUUUAUUUUAGCUCAAAUUAACAUUAUUGUAUCAUUGCACAUUUAUAUUUACACUUAAUUUAUUUAAUGGUAUUUAUGUAGGAAUCAUGAAUCAAUCACGGGUUUUUAAAAUUUCAUUCAAGACACUAUUGAAUGAAAUAUUGGAUUCAUACAAUAUACCAUUACCAGAGUGGACCUACGAGAAUAAUGGCAACAAGGCAUGGAAAGCACUGAUAUCUUUAUUAAAUAUUUGUUUAAUAUUUUCAUAUAUAUUGUUUAUAAGUAAUUAAGAUAAGAUUGUUAUUAGCAUUGAUAGCACUGCUCCUCAAAUUAUUAAGGUUUUACAUCCUUCAAAAACGUGAGAAGCUAUACAGCAACUAAUGUUCAAGAAUUGAAAAUUAUUAUCAGAAAUAUAUCAAAUAAUGGCCGGUGUUCAAACAGAAGUACAAUUAAAGUUACAAGUUACAAUUAUAGCACAUUAGUUUUCACAAUUAAAAAUAUUUAUUAUUUAAAUUGACUGCUUAGAUCUUUUCAUUUCUCUAGGGAUUGGUUUACCCUUCCAAAGUGACAAUUCCGAAGGUUGAUUUCAAUAGUUAACUGUACUACAAAGCAUGUCCCAAAUGUCAGAGAAAAGUGACAUUUGAAGGAUCUAAUUUUGUGUGCAAUGCUUGCAAUCAAAAUGUGGAGUAUCCUAAAUUGAGGUAUGUCAUAUGUGUUAACCUUUUUAUCAUUUUAAUUGUUACAAUAUCUACAUAAACAUAACUUUUAGAAUAUGUGUAUUUAUACAUAUAUAUGUUAAAAGUUUUGGCAAAUGAUGCAACCGGUAGUGCUUGGUUUAUUAUAGUUGAUCAAGAAGCUGAAAGAAUAAUAGAACACAAACUUUCUUUUGUUCUUGAAGAAUUUAACAAGGUAAACUUAUAUCUAAUGUUUAAAAAUAUUUUUAAUAAUAGUAGACAAUCCGACACUUAUCUUAGCCGUUGAAUAUUCUAACAAAAAAAAAUCUAUUAUGCAUUCCAUUUUCAGGAAGGAUUUAGCAAUGAAAUCGUGUCAUCAAUUAUAAAUAAGAUCACGUGGAAAUCUUUUGUGUUCCAAAUCAAGUUGAACAAUUACAAUUUGGAAUAAGGUAGUAAUAAAUUUAUAGUGACUAGAUGGUUCCACUGUGAUUUCGGGAGGGAAACGCAUUUCAUGCUUUCACAGGUAAUGUGCAAUAAAUUUCUCUUAUAUUUCACAUAUUAUAUCUCACAUAAUAUUUUUGCCUUCAAUUUUGAUAAAUCAUUAUCAGAUUGGUGGAACCGACAACCAAUACCAACCUGAAGCAUCUUCUUCCCAAAUCCCAAUUAGUAUAACAGAUGAUUCUAAUCAACAACAUUUCAAUACACUUCAUAUGAAUCAUUCAUCAGAGGGUUCAACAAAAAUCACAGAGAAAGAGAAUCCUCAUAAAAAGAUUUGCAUGAGAAGGUAGAUUUAAUAUACUAUUUUACUUUUUUAAAUUAUAAUCUUUACGUAUUGUUAUACACAAUCUUGAAUGCGAUAAGUCAUUUUUUUCCAGUACUUAGUUAUCCUGCUUUGCUAUCAUGCAGCGAUAAUGGAAAAUCAAUAAAUGCUGAUUUGCAUGGACAGAUCGAGGAGAAUGUUCAAAUAGAAGAAAAACAAAAAAAAGUUUCUGAAGAAUAGAAUAUUAUUUGAUAUUAUUUACUGCACUUUUUAUUUAUUUUCAAGUUUUUGAAUGUUAUGGUAUUGUUGAAUGCCAUUUUUUCUAUUUUUGAAUUAUUAUUCACUGAAUUAGAUGUUCAAAUUUAUAUUAUAAGAAUACUUUAUAUUACAAUACGCACAUAGUAAUAUACUUAAGACAAGUUAUAAUAGAUUAUAUAUUAAAUUUGUAUUUUAUACCGACAUUUUUAUAAAAUUAACUAAAUAGUUUAUUAUUUUUCGAUGAUUCCCGUUCAACGAACGAGUACAAAACUAGUUAAUUAAUUAAUUAAGAGAAUAGAUGUGAUUGUAAAUUAAGUUGAGGGUUAAGAUCGAUAUCAGAAAAAAGUUGAAAGAAAUGGUAAAUUGCGGUUUUUGGUGAAAUUAUUUUUUGUUAUCUCUUAUUACUAGGUUGGAGGAGUUUUAAUCGAAGUGUAAUUGCUAAUUGGAGGAGUAUUAAUUGGAGUGGUAAGGUAUGUGAAGAGAGAAGUGUUAGUUGGAGUAGAAUUCUUGUUUGAUGGAAACAUGAUUGUGUGUUUCAAACGUGAACAUGAUAUAUUUUAUGAAAUAAAUUAAACAUGAAAUGCUAGAAAAAUGGAAUUGAGAGUGGAGGCUUAUUGCUAGAAAUCCUUUCUCAAAUUUAUAUAGAUAUAGAUUUUUAAUUAAUCUUACCUUUUCCAAAAUCUAAUAUCUAAAGUAAAUUUUAACGAGCGUUCAUUGUGCACCCAUUAAUUAGACAUACUGUACUAAAAAAGGAGAAGUAACAAAACCAAGCUAAUCUCUCCUUAUCGAAUCGUACUAAUUAUGUGCUUAAAUGAGCUUAUUUUAUACCAUAUUUUACGUCAAUUCAUGACAAUUGUAACUAUGUAUUGUAGUCGGUACAUAAGGAGCAUUGGACUCACAAAAUUUGAUACUUCCACCUAACUAGAGUUUUUUGUGCCGAGUGAUGUGAUAACAUGGGCAUUUUUAAUUAGCAAUGGCCAGAUCGACACCCGCUCAUUGACGACCUGUCAUAUGAUAAAAGAAAAAAAUAAAAGAAUUCAGUGAUAACUUGUACACAAUGUAGAUUGGAUGAACGAGUAUAUACCUAGCCUUUCUCUUUCAAUUAUCUGAUAAUUCAAGAUUGGGUCUCCUAAGUUGAGUUCUGUCUAGUUUAAAUUGGUUGAUGUAACUUUUAUAAUUUUUCGUAUAAACUCAUAUAAUUUGAGUAUAAAUUUAAAUUUGUCAAUUCGUACAAUUAAGUUGGUGUAAAUUUCACAAUUAUACCAAACUAUAUGAAUUUACGCCAAAUGUGAUAAGAAUUAUGAGACUCAAUCGAUUUGAAUUGAACAUAACUCAACUUAUUCUCAAAUCCAUAAUUUAGAUGUUUCCAAUUUAUGACCCUAACAUGAAUAACAUAAUACGUCUUCACACCAUGGCCAUCAGUAUCCUCCCAAAAACUGGAAACUAAGGAAUCCUUAGACAUGCACCACUUCUAGUUCUAGCCCAAGAUUCCUCCAAGUAUGACUUCUGUGGUUUCUUUCCAUAGUAUCAACGAUUCCACACAAGAAUCUCGCGGCUCAUGUAUAUAAAUGGUCCUGCGAGUCCUGCAAUAGUCCAACACGUCUCUCCAUUCAUUCAUAUCACACAAGGUUUGCUCAAUUUCCCCUCAAUUUCUCCUCUCCCUUAUUUCCCCUUCUGCGCCAAAGGGUACCGUCGGACUGAUCUUUUAGUUUCUUUUACUCUCUCAAUUUUGGGUUUUGAGUGUAUAUGAUAACUCUUCUUGUUGAACGAUGAGAUAGCAUGAAAUUCUUGCGUCAAAGUUUUAUUUUGGUUUGUUGCUUUUCUUAUCCUAAUUCCAUGCUGGAUUGAAUAAAAACAGAAUAAGGGUAGCUUUUUUCUUCACCAUUUGCUCCAAAAUAACUGAAGAGUUCAAUUGUUUUUCCAUCUUUUUGUCUGUAUCAGAACAUUCUAAUGUCACUGUCAUCACAGCAUGAACUGCUUUUAGGGGUUUUGCAGAAUUCAUGUCGUUUUUUUGUUAUGAAUUGCUUCUUUAGGUUUACGUAGCACAUAACUUUCAAGGAGCUUUCUGAGGGUGCUCAGCAGAAAUGGAUACAGAUAAUGGAAGUGGAGGUGGUCCAGUUAGGCUUGAGGUCUGUUGGUAAUACUCGAUUUUCAAUGUCCUAUUAAUAUUUUAUUUCACAUGUUAAUUUCUUUUUCUCCCUUUGGCAGGGAAAAUUUGCUGCAAUGGCAGUCUGUUGGCUUCUUGGAAAUGGCUGCUUGUUUUCUUGGAAUAGUAUGCUGACAAUAGAGGAUUAUUAUGUCUACUUAUUUCCGGUAAUCGCAUAUGUCAUUGAAGAAUCUGUUGGUUGUCAAUGUUAAUUUCUAACCCGACUUGAAGCUUUUCCUUAAUUGAUACUUAUUUUUGUAGAUGUUUCUAUCUUUUAGAAUUACAUGUAUAAAGGGCAUUCUCCUGAUCGCCAUAUUAGCUUCUUCCUCAAUCGGAGUACCCUAUAGCCAGAUCAUUCCUGGAAAAAAACAUUGACAUUUUGCCUACUUCAUUAUAGUGCAAAAGUUUUUGUUCUUUAAGGAAGGCUUUUCACUAAUUGAAUCCCUGAAAUUGAUCCAAUCAUAUGUAUCUUUGGAUGUUUAAUGGAAUUACCUUGUCUUGGAUUUUGCCAUGUUCUGUUACAACAAUAAACACCUCAUGAAACUGCUAAUUUUACUGCCUUGUCGGCUUAAAAGUUUGUCAAUCAUAAUCCAUGAGUUUUGCUUUAAUUUCUCGGUGUUGUAUGGUUAAUUUUCAUUCAUUGUUUGACAUAGUGACAGCACCAACUAAACUUCUUUACUCUUUCCAAUCCUCGACUGAAAGUAAGAUACUGGCUUUGUGUUCUACUCUGCUUUUCUUCAGUUAUUAAUCAGAUAUCUUUUGAUUUUCCUCAAAAGCUAGUUCAUGUCGUAAUGUUUUUCAACCAGCAUUUUAAGAGAAACAUUUCAUAAAGAAAGGUAUCUCUAUUAAGAAUGCAGAAGUAGCAUACCAUGUGGACUAAACAUUAUGCAGACCUAAACUGUAAUAUCAGUUGUUAGCACAAACAAAUGCAAGACAAUAUUACCUUGUGAAUGAUGGACAAUACCUAAAGCAGCAAACCCCAACUUAUUCACUCAAAGGUCUUCAGAGAAACAAGUUAUUCCUAGUCUUUUAAUGUUUUCAUGCCAUUCUUGGAAUAAUCCAUAUUAAUAAGACAGCAAUCAGAUUCCAACUUCAAUUAGGAAAAUCAAACAUGGGUCUCAUAACCCCAGUUGUCAGAUGGCACGGUUUGUGGUUGUACUCAUUGGAGGCAUGAGCAUUUGUAGUUGACCAAGUGAAUGUUUUCUUCUCUGCAGAGUUACCAUCCCUCAAGGGUUCUUACUCUUGUAUAUCAGCCAUUUGCACUAGGAACCCUGGCAGUGCUAGCAUACAAUGAGGCAAAGAUCAAUACAAGAAAGAGAAAUCUUUUUGGAUACAGUCUUUUCUUUGUUAGCACGCUUUUAGUACUCGUUGUAAGUAUUAUUCUCUUUCUAUUCAUUCUGUUGGAUUUAAUGUUAAGCUUUACAUUAUACGUGAAAGAAUGUAAUUUUUAGGCAAGUGCACUUACUUGUAUCAUAUACAUAAUUUCACCAUAGCUCUUGGAAAAAAAAAUGUGUCUUUUAGUAGAAGACAUUUACUGGUUUCAGUUAUUUCCAGUUCCCCCAUUAUCCAUUAUACAGCAUAUCAACAGUAUUUGAGAUUAAUUUGAUUUUUACGUUCAAUUGCUCCAAUAGCUGGAUUUAGCCACAUCUGGAAGGGGUGGAAUUGGAACAUUUAUUGGAAUUUGUGUUGUCAGCGGUGCUUUUGGAAUCGCUGAUGCUCAUGUUCAGGGUGGAAUGGUUGGAGAUCUCUCAUUCAUGCUACCAGAGUUCAUUCAGGUUAGUUCUCUUUUCUCGUGUUCUGCUGUAUCUGAAUAGUUCUUUCUUCUGGAAUCUUUGUAUGACAUUCUUUAAUUUGAUUGCUUUAGUCUUUUCUGGCAGGGUUAGCUGCAUCAGGCGCACUAACAUCCGCUUUGAGGUUGAUUACCAAAGCGGCAUUUGAAAAUUCCAAGGAUGGCCUGCGAAAGGGAGCCAGUAAGUUAUGAUUUCCCUUUUCUGUGGUUAGUCUUUUCUGAUUGUGUUAUUUUGUUCAUAUAAUCAAGCCUACAGUUGACAAAUAACUGCAGUUCUAUUCUUUGCUGUUUCAACAUUCUUUGAGCUUCUCUGUGUCCUUCUUUACGCAUUUGUCUUCCCCAAGCUACCAAUCGUGAAGUACUAUCGUUCUAAGGCAGCCUCAGAGGGAUCAAAAACUGUUUCUGCUGACCUUGCUGCAGGCGGAAUUCAUAGGCAGCCUGAACAAGUAUAGCUCUUUUAAUGUAUUAGUGAAUUCAAGAUCUCGGUAGUGACUUUAUCAAUCUUCUUUAUCACCAUUUCAGGUUGGUCAAGAUCCUAAACAGCCCGAAAGAUUGAGCAACAAACAACUACUAGUUCAGAACAUUGAUUAUGCAUUAGAUAUGUUUCUGAUAUACGUUCUAACACUCUCUAUAUUCCCUGGAUUUUUAUCCGAGGAUACUGGAUCACACAGCUUGGGAAGCUGGUAAGUCUGCUUGACCACAGCUGCUUGGUUUUUUUUUUUUUUGGUGCUUUCUCACUCAUGAACGUGGAACAGAGCUGUUGCAACUGUCUUGUAUUUUUCGUCUGUGAACUUCUGUUGUUAUCUAGACCAAACUGAGGACUUUGUGAAAUAUGUCAUUCCAGGUAUGCCCUUGUCUUGAUUGCAAUGUAUAAUGUCUGGGAUCUCAUAGGUAGAUGUAUACCACUUUGGAAACGCAUAAAGCUGGAAUCGCGUCGGGGACUUACAACAGCAAUUCUCUCUAGAUUCUUGCUCAUUCCUGCCUUCUAUUUCACAGCUAAGUAUGGUGAUCAGGGCUGGAUGAUAAUGCUUACCUCUUUUCUGGGGUUAAGUAAUGGCUACCUUACAGUGUGUGUCCUUACUUCUGCCCCAAAGGGAUACAAGGUAUGUUUGGAUUUAACAUAUUUAUUUUAACUAAUCUUCCUAGCAUCCGCACAGUAUUCUUAUAGAACUUUUGGCAAUCUGAUUUUUGCAGGGACCAGAACAGAAUGCCUUGGGAAAUAUACUAGUAUUGUUUCUCCUAGGAGGUAUAUUUGCAGGGGUUACUCUUGAUUGGUUAUGGCUCAUAGGCAAAGGCUGGUGAGCAUUGUCACUAAUAGUUUUUCAGUUUUUCCUACAAUCUGCUCCUCAAGUUAGGUAUAAUAGGGUGAGCCAUUCCUAGUAUUGUUUCUCCUUUGAUGUUAGGUGAAUUUUAUUGCCAUAGCAAUCAAUUUAUACAUAAGCUCCUUAGAUAGUUGGGGAAAAAUAUGACUCCAAGAAAUCUUAAGGCUUACAGAGCAGGGUCUUUUGCUUUCACACCCUGUUCGCACUUUUAUGUUCUUGGUUGUUUUUUUGAUCAGCUGUUCAGUCAAAACUUUGCAUUAGCCAAUUGAUAUCCUUGUGUUUCUCAAGAAUGGCUGAAAGAUAUUUGAACUGCUUGCUGAAAUUUUUGCUACUGAUUCUAUGUUGUAUAUCUUCCUGACCUGAAUAAUCAUGGGAUAUAAAUAACUUAAUGUGACAACAGGAGUUACAAUAAUUAACCUCCUCAAUUAAGUAGUCAUAUUCAUGAUAUGUUUGCUUUAAUGCAGGCCAAAGAGAUCAAAAACUUCCACCGUCUCUUAAUGAAGUUAACAUCACUUUUUAGGCCAAUUAGUGUAAUGAAUUUAAAGUAGACAUACUUUGGCAUAUUUUGCUUCUGGUAUGGAGGUUCUCCUGCAGACGGGAUCCUUUGUCCAAUAUUUGUGUCCACUUUUCUGUCCAAUACAAAACUACGCAGUUUCACUUAUUAUAUCUGCUGAGUCAUGACAACUGAAAAUCUAAGUAGUUAGUUAAAAAAAUAAAAAUAAAAAAAAAAGAUAAGCAAAAGAAUAAAUUGCCACAUCUGGUUUUAGAGGCAGCUUAUUAAGCUACAUCAAGGCUGCACAAUACACAUAUUUAGAUACUUAAUCACAUUUAAUUAAAUACAUGCACCGACAGUAAUUAUGUGUUAUAGAAAAUCCCAAAGUUUAAAAACUGGGUUUAGCUACCAAGUGUACAUUUUAUUUGUCUUAAUGGAAUUGACUAAUUGUUAAUAUCCCAAGAAAGCUCUCCUCCCUCUGUCUCACCAUUGUUUAUGCUUCUUGCAUCAAACUCAUAAAGGAAAUGUUAGGUUAAAAAAAAAUGCCAUUCUAUACCCUAAUAUCUUUUUCCUUGCAAGGUGCAGUAUUUUAAUUAUACUUAUUGGAUUUGCCUUUCUUUGAUGGGAAUAAAACUAUAGGGAUGGUAUGUGCUUUUCUUGAAUUUCUCAGAGACAGAAUAACUGUUUUUUUUUUUUUUUGGUCUAAAAGGAGAAAUACAUCAUGUCCAAAACCAAAUAAUAACAGGACAUUUACAGUCUAACAUCAUUAGAUUUUUGUAAUUUGGGUUCCAAAAUUGUUUCUGGUAUGUGAAAGAAAUACCAAAUUUAUGCAAAGAAAUUUGUAAUAUAAUACUCGAAGAACUUAUUCAUGAAUGAAAGUGAAAUGUUACCAACAUUUGGGUCUUUAAUUUAAGACUCCAAAUUUUGCUGGUAAAGAGAUGCAAAGUUUUUAGUCUUUUGAUGGGAAUUAAUUUUGUAACGAAAAUUGACAAAGAGCAAUGUAUUUUUGAAAAUGGGCCAUUGUAUUUGCUUUUGGUCCGCAAAAUUUGAAGCCCAAUUUAUCUUCACGCCAUCUCCAAUGCUUUUAUAUCUAGAAAACCAAUCUAGAAAGAGUAAAUCUUAUAUAAACUGAUAAUGUAUAUAUUGUCACGGUUGGAUGCAUGACACAUGAACAAAAUUUGGAUUUCAAAUUUAAAUUCAGAUAAAUUAUCAUGCAUCUAAUAGAUAAUCUAGAAAACCAACGUAGAUAAUCAAUCAAGUAGAAAGAUGCUUAAGUGCAUUUGAAUUAGUUUUAAGCGCUUCCCUUUUUUUUUUAUCUGGAUAAUUAGUAAAUUUUUUAAAUGAUUUAAUCACCAAACUAACUGUUUAUAGACCAAAUGGUACAUUUCUUUCUUUUUGAAAUGAUUCAAUCACCAAACUUUGGUUUUGUAGACCAAACGGAUCUUAUUUGAUCUAUUAUUCUGAUUUUCAUUUUACUAUGUAAAUAAAACAACUCAGAUAUCACCUUUUAAAUCCCAAAAAUAGCCUUCAAUAUAAAGUUUAUGACAGUUGCAUUUAGAGAUAAACACAGUUGAAUUUGUUUUUUUGGAGGUUUUGUUUAGUUUAAUUAACUCCCAAUAAUCCUCAUCUUUUUUUAAGUACAUCAAUAUAAUGGUUGGGUCAGCCACUAGUUUCAAUUACAGUAGAUGGAUUUGCCACAAAAACUAAAACUAAUUUGAACAAAAACGACCAAAGCAAAAGAAAACACAAGAUGCUAAACAUGCAAUAUGGCGACAAACAUCCAACCGAGAUUCUCUCCCCAAAUUACGUGUGAAGGAUUACUAUUUUAUAGAGAAAAAAUUAUUUAAUUAUUUGAUCCAAUUUUAAAGGUUUAAGAUCUGAAUUAUAUAUUGUUGUUUUCAAAUAAACAAUAAUAUGUUAAGUUCGAUGCUUUUAUGUGUCCAAUAUGAUCACCUACAAAAAACUAUACGACCAACAUACUCAGUCCUGGGGAAUUACCCUUCUUCGAGUUUCGAGUGUACCCAAAAAGUUGAAAAGCUUUUUGUUUUCUUAUCGAUGUUUGAAAAUCCGCGUUGUUAAUUGUUACUACGACAAUCUGCCCCAUUCAAAAACCAAGCGGCAAAUGUACCGUAUAAUUUUACUUGUAGCAUUGUUAUACUGAGCUAGCUCGGACAAGUUUAACUCGAAUUCGACCUUGAACUCAAAAAUAUUCAGUUUGUUAACUCGCGAAUCGACUUGAUUAUAUAUAUAUAUAUAUAUAUAUAUAUAUAUAUAUAUAUAUAUAUAUAUAUAUAUAUAUAUAUUACUUUUUGUUUUAAUAAUAAAAUUAUAUAUAUAUAUCUAAUAUUUUAUUAUUUAUUAAAAAAAUAUUAUUUUAUUCAUUUUUUAAAAUUUUAUUUUUUUAAACUCAAACUCGAGUUCGAAAUCGAGCUUGAUUUUUAUAUUUUGAAUUCAUCGAACUCGAGUUCAAGUUUAAGUUUCAUAAAACUAAGUUGAGGCUCGGAUUGAUUAGGUUAAAAUUCAACUCAUUUUGACUCAUUUGCACCCUCAUACUGAGCGAAACAUCAACUUCAAAUUUCAAAAAACGAAUAGUAUGUGCCUUAAGAUUAACUUCAUCCGCGCAUCUUUCUCUUUGUCUUUAUCGCUUAAUUCACUUGAUCAUAACUAUAUUUUAUAUCUUUUUCCUCCUACUUGUUAUGAUUAAAUGUUUAACGUUACUCACCAAGACACAAAUCAAUUUCUUGUUUUAGUAUCCAAAUGUUCCACAAUACCCCCAAAAAAAAAAAAAAACUACAAAGGCUUUGCAUCUCCACCAAUGGGCUUUGGUCCGGAGAGAUGUCAUUAGACACCCAAUUUGGAUUAUGGUGACAUUUUCUCGUUAAGACAAACAAAUAGAGUGAGGGUUCGGUAUUUACCUUCUCGAUUUAGUGAUAAAACAAUUAAGGUUGAAUUCUCAAGAAUUAGAUAUGUUGAAUUCAAGUUUUACUAUAUGCGUGAGUUUCAUCUGACUAUAUGCUAGUGUGCGUCCUACCCACCAUUUCUAGAUUUAAUUGUAAUAUUAUUGAGCUAUAUUCUUGUUAGUAAAUUAGUUGUAAUCUUGUUAAAAAAAUAGGGUUUGUUCAUUUUACUACUUACCAGAUUAAGAAAGAAUUAUUACUAAUCGCCGUUCCAAUAUACAAUUACAAUUUGAUUUUGCAGACUCACGAGGCGGCCUCAUCUUAGUGUAAAAUUCUUGAAAUGGUUGCCAUUAUACUUCGACAUCUUAUGCUCUUUAUCUUGGUCAAAUUAGGGAUAUUAUGAAUAACUGCAUUUUCAAAAUUAUUUUGACAAUAUAUAUCGGUAGUUUGACCUUUAAAAGGACAAAAAAAGGGAGGUAGUUCAGCAAUAAUAAAAGCAUCAAAAUUACAACUUCUUUCUACCCAGUAAAAUGUGUCCAAAAUAAUCAAGAAAAAUAUAAAAUUGUAAAUAGGAGUAAUUCAAUAAAUUAAAAAAGCUACCAUAAAAUGACCUAAUAAACAUCAAAACCUAGACUAAAUGUAAGGUCACUCUCCGCAGUAAAAGUAAGAUCUUGUCCUCGUACUGCAUGUCAAAAAGUACAAAUCUGUGAAAGUGACCUAAAAAAUUUACAGUGGUACAAAAAGACAAGAAUGCCCCCUCCAUCCCACACAAUUUGUCAACUAGCUUCACGUGAAUGAUGAAUCCACCCGACAACCCGUCACAGGCUAAAAAACAAACGCAGCCGGUUUUUUUUCGGCCCUUUCCAAAAAGUUCCUGUUUUUUCACACGAAUAGAGAUCCAAUAAUGAUUAAGGGUAAAAUCGGAAACAGAAGAAUAUUGAUUGACCAAGAAGUAGUGGAAAUGGACGGCGAAGAUGAGGCCUCUGAUUGCUCAAACUGCAGCGAAUCGACGGCUAAGGGCAUGUUUUCUUGGUCGGGGCUGCAUUUAGCAUCAUGAGGAGGAUGAGCACUGUACAUAACUGCCCGCAAUACUGCCGAAACGGUGGGUAUGUAUGCCGUUUUGUUUCGAGCUAGUAGCCACGUCAGCCCCAUGAGCUGGCAAUCCCUGCUUAACAUUUUGCUUGCUCGGUCCCCGUCUUCCACGUCCAUCUUUUGAGUUCCGUUUUUAACCUCACCGUUUAACUACAAAUAAGCAAUAUAUUCAAGGGCCAUUUAGAGAUUUCGUUUAUAAAGCUUGUCAAAUAACAAGCUUUUUGUUUUGUUUUUUGGUUUUGAAGCAUUGUCAAAUAACAAGCUUAAAGUAACAAAGAUUAAAAUCAAUGGAUAGAUAUGCUUCAAACAAUAAUAACAAUAAUAAAUCGAUAGAUGCUUUGAAUAAAUUUUUGGAAGUCAAAAGUGAUGCUUGAAUAGGGAUUAUAUCUUUCUCCCUCCCCUAAGGGAGAGAAAAAUAUGUGUUUAUUUAGCAUCAAAAAAAUGACAAUUGAUUGAAAAUGAUUUAAUCAAAUAAUGAUGAAAAAAGAAGAAUGUGGAAAAUGCUCUCACUAAAAAUAGAUGAGCGCAUUAUAGACAAAAUAUAUCUGUUUGGAUCCAUCAGUUUUCCAAAAAUUAAAUUUUCAAAUACUAAUUUCUAAAAAAUAAUCUAAAAAGUUGUCUAAAUUUUUUUUAAUAUUUAAAAAAUAUUUCAAAAUAUAUUCUAAAAACUCUACUAUUCUUAAAUAUCUCAAAAACUCUACUCUAAUUCAAACGGAACGUUAAGUCCUUGAAAUUGAGUAAAUUUUUAGGGAUGGAAAGCAAUUUUUCUUUUGUUUUUUCCCCAAAUAUGAAAUGAGUAGUCAAAGUAAUGAUGAUUAUGCAGCCAUUAUAUCAUUAACUUCAAAAGGAGACCAAAGGAAGAAUAAGAAACAAUUAUUAUAAGUGAAAGUACAAUAUAGGACAAUUGUCUCACCAUUAUACUCUAAUGAGAGAACUAAUAAAUAAUAAUAAUGGCCAAAGACUCUUUUUCAAUACAAUAAGAUAGGAUAAGAACAAAAUGAACGAUUAGCGAGUGAAAUUACGAAACUAACCUUUUGGAGCGCACCAAGACACUUGGUACAACCAGCAUAAGAAGAGUUGUGACAAUUCUUCUCCAAAUUCUUGACCGCGGCCGUCGGCGUCGCAUUCCGGGAGCCCGUCAGAUUAAACGCGGCUGGACAACUCAAGGAAGUGAUCUGAUGAAGGCGAAUCCCACAAAAGCACAAAACGGGGUCGCAAGAGCCAUUAGGCUGAGGAAUAUGGAUGUUGCGGCUGAGCAAGGAGCUCUGCAGCGAGUUCACACACUUCUGCGAGUCGUCCGGCAUCAUGGGCAGGUCGGAGCUGGUCGGAGGAGCAGCUGAGCUGACCUGCAAAGCCGAGCGAGCAUGAGCAGCGAACAGCCACGCUGCCAGUACUGGGCAGCAUCGGCUUCUGUCUAGGUCACGCCCACAUGCUGAACUGACUCCGCCGAAAAGCUCGUCUGAGAGGUCAAGCCGGCAAGUUUGGGCCUGCGUUUGAACGGGAAAUGCGGGGACUGUGUUCGAAGAUGAAUAGUCUCCCGGCUUUAAUGGCUGAGCCGGCUGGGAGAGCAAGCCAGCAGAACAAACAUCAAAGGUGGAAAAUAGUAGAGGGAAGAUAACCAAGAAAGAUAACGAAAAGGUAAAACGUCGACGUUUCUUUGUGCACUGGACCUUCAUAAUACUAGUAAUAAUGCAAGUGAGAUGGAAUUUUUUUUCCUUGCUUCUAAUGCUUUUUGGUUUUGGGCAAAAGUGAAGGGGUUGAGGAGAAAGCUAAAAGGGGUGCUGAGAGCUAAGAAGGUUUUACUAGUUGAACGAGAAGAGGGAAAUGAAAGGAGAGGGCUAAAAGCAGGUUUGUUUUGUCGCUUUGUUUUUCUUUGUGGUUUGUUGAGUACUAUAAAGAAAUGUGGCUAGGGGUUGAGGAGGGCUCUGUCUAAUAUUCACAGGUUGAAGGAGCUAAAGGUUCACGCAAAUUAUUUCAUCAUACAAGCAGAUCCUGUUUUUUUUUUCAUAUAUAAAGAGAUUUAUUAUGUAAAAAAGAAGAAAAGAUUGGCUUAUGCAGUAUGCUCCUUCAAAAAAAAAAAAAGAUUGGCUUAUGCAUGUAACAUGUACAUUUCCAUCAAAGCUCUCAAGCUGUGUACCAUAUAAAAAUGGAUUUAGGACAGGCAAAGUUGAGGUUUUGGAUGGGAUUGCGCCCUUGUUGCAUAUUUUACAUGAAUUACGUGUAUUAAUUAUAUGCACAUAUUUUACUAAUUCAAUAUAUAAAUACAUUAUCAUGUUUAUGAACGUACGUUGAGUUUUUUAAAAAGAAUAUAAUAAUCAUACCAAUUACAUCAAAUCCAACAGUAUCCACCCCAUUCCUUUUUGAAUAAUGUGUGUGUAUUGUUAGUUGUGUGAACUGGAUGUCUUACUGUAUUAAGUCUCAGUUAAAAAAGUGUAAAUUGCUUCUAGUGCAAUAGUUUCAGCGAGUUUUCUUAGUUAAGUAACUCGGAGUAGAAAUACUAGUAUAUGAUGUGACAUCACUGGGUUUGUUUGGAUGGCAAAUUAUCUCUAAUAAUAUUUCACUUGUAUCAUAAACAUAUUUUUUAACUUAUCUUUUUAUCUCACAUACAUCACAUCACAAAAAAUACUCUAUAAUAAGUAUUCAAAAUAAUAUUUCAAAUAAUACUCUAUCCAAAUCAACCUAUAUUGAUUAAGUAGUGAUUAGUCAAGGAAUAAAUGGUUUAAAAGUAUGAGGUCUAUAAGAUUUUACUGUCAUUUUUUUUGGGAAGUGAGAAUUUCUUUAUUAUUCUCAUUGCUUAAAAAGAAAAUAUAUUAUCAUUAAAAAUAACUUCUUCAAGUCGCAUGUAUAGUAUAAGCUAAAUUAGUUAAGGGUAGAAGUCUUAUGGAUUGGUCAAUAUACCCAAAAGUUGCCAAUCGAAUUAUUCAUGCCUCUUAAUUUAAAACAAAAGCAAAUAAAAUUUUCAUAGGAGUUGACUUUUUUCAAUAUUAGAUUACUUGGAAUUUCGUUAUAUUUCUGUUUGGAUUGUGGUUGUUAAAAAAAAAAUUCUUGUCAUGCGUUUUGUAAUGCGAUAUAUAUUAAAUAAAAAGAUGAUAUAGAAAUAUAUUUAAUAAAGAUUUUAAAAUUUAUAUUGUACCAUUUUUUAUUGUAUGAUUAAUUUAGAAUAAAAAUAAUUAAAAACAUAUUUAACCAAAUGAUUCCGAAAAUGUUUCCGUCUAAAGUUCCUUAAUACUAGGGCUUAGUUUGGGAGUUUAGGAUAGAAAUGAAAAAAAAGGAAAACUCAAGUUAGAAGAGAAGAAAAGGGAAGACACUGUUAUGUUGUUGAGAGUUUUAAAAAUUAAUUGAAUGAUUUUGAAUAUAGAAGUCAUUAAAUAUUUGUUGAAGAUCUUUUUAAGGAUAAAAUAGGUAUUUUAAAACAAUUUGACAAGCUUCCUUAAAGUUUCCUUCCAUUUCCAUUCAAUUUGGGAGGAAAAGUUUUGGUUACCGAAGUAUUACAUUUCAUUCCUCUAAAUCCUCCCAUUUUCUUUUUUUUCUUUCUUACUACAAACUACAAACGAAGGAAAACCACUUCCUUCCCUUUCUUUUCUGUCCAAAACCCCAACUUCCAAACGAAGCUACAGUUAAAGAGUUGGACAAGGUUAAGGGUUGGAGUACUGGAGCAGCUGGGUUCUGUGACUAGACAGGAAAAAGGAAAAGGAAAAGGUUGGUGAGGGGCCCGAAGAGAAAGGAUUAUAGGAGAGUUGGGAGUACCACGCCGACAAAAGACGAAAGAGUGAAAGGGAAAGGCUGUCUGAGAAUUUGGCUGCUUCUGAUGUCUCCUUCCUUCUCAUUCCUGCUCCAUUCUGGAGGUCGUGAAAGGGAAAGGCUCUCUAUUCUUUUGUUUUCUUUUAUUUCUUGGUGGCCUUAGUUGAAGUGAGAUUAAAGUGAUUGGGAUUUGUGAAAACAAAUUAAACAAACCAAAUUUGGCUUGUCCAAACAAACUCAGUGUCUGUUGGUUUUAUUUAAUAAGGUAAGAAUACAAUAUAUCCCAACAUGGAGAUUUCAGUCUUUCUUUCCUUUUGGUGUCUUUUUUCAUUAAGUUAUUAAGUUGUUUUUGAUAAUUUUAGUGUCUAUGAUAAUUGUUCGAGGAAUAAAGGAAUGGAUUUUUAUAAUGCAUGUCGCAGCAAACGUCCAUUACUACACCUAAAUUACAGUUAACUUAUUAUGUGUAUGCACACACUUACAUCUAAUGCAUUCUCCGAAAUUAAUUUUAGUUUUACUAUAAAACUAGUCCUGGGACACCAGUUAACCAAAUCCUGAAUAAAAAUAAAGUAUGAUUUUUUAGGAAAUUUUUUAGUUUGGAGAUUGAUGAAGAGCAAUAGACAAAAUGAAGGCUCUUCAGCGACAUAAUUGGGUAUCCAUGAGUAAGUGGUCAAAGCUUUCGAGAAAAAGGCCAAUGAUGAUUGCUGUAAUGAACUGAACUAAGUGACACAUUUUUGUAAUCUAAUAAGAAAGUGGGAGCAUGGCCCUUGAUGGAAACUUCCAUUAUCACAGGGAAAUUCUCAAGUGCUGGAUGCAUGGAAAAUUUUUGUGCUCUUGAAAGUGUUUAUACCAAUGUGUAGUUUUCUUGAGUACCCAUCUAAGCGAAGUUUAGAAUUCAGCUAAUUUGGUUGGGUAUUAUAUUACAUGUGUAUUUUCUUUGUUCUACAUUGAAAUUAGAAAGCAAUUUUUUAAUUUUUUUUGCAAAGUAGGGAUAGAAUUUUAGAAGCAAGAAUGAAAUAUGAGAAUUUGAGCCCAAAAUAUCUAAUUUCUAGACUGUUAAUUUUAAUCUGUAGAUCAAAACCCCCUCUACAAUCAAGAAGCAAGUUUGGUAUUUAUUUGAAAAGUUGUUGUCUAAAGAUAAAAUCAAGUAAUGCAAUUUGCUUCUGAAAUUAAAUUUUGUUUGUUUAAAGAGGUCUUGAGGUUUCUAAUAGUUCAAUAAUAAUUUCUUGGUUAAGUUAUGUGAGAUCAAUUAUUUGGACUUUGAUUACUGGUUCUGAAAGACUAAAACUAACUAAACAACUUCAUUCUAAUAAAUUUUUUUUCAAUAGAAUAAAGAUUAAGGAUGCAAGUAGAUUAAGAGUUUCAACGAAAAAUUUGUAAUCCUUUCAGAUUCUUUUAACUUUUAUUGAUGAUUUAGGGAAAUUUUAAUUGUGAUUUACUAAUUAUAUUAGUGUUUAAAUAUAUAUUAAAUAAUUUGUGAAUUACAAAGUUAAAAAAAAUCUCCUUUUUAAUCCAAAAAACUUAGAGAGAUUUGAAAAUAUUUCAAAUUGUUCAUCGAAUCCUCAAUUCAAAUGCAGCCGGGAAUUUGUCAACUUAAAUAGCUUCAUCCCAAGUGAAUUCUAUUUGAUCCAUUUCAAAUAGAAUGAAAUUUUUUACGUGAAAUUAUUAACUUAUACUCGAAGUCAAUCAAAUAAAUACUAUCACAUAAUCAACUAUAAACCAACCCCUAACUCUACUCAUUUCUGUUUGGAUUGAUCAUUUUUUAAAAAAUAAGUUUUUCAUGUACAAUGUUACAGUAAUACACAAACAAAAAUAACCUAAAAAACACAAAAAACACUAAGAACAAUCUCAUCUACAUUAAAAGUUUUUCACCUACACUACUAUAGUAAAAUAUUUUAAAAAUAUCUCCAAAAAUAGCUAAUCCAAACGAAGCCAUUUCCUUCAUUCUUUUAAACAAAAAUCUGUUUUUCUUUGUGAAUCUCUUUUCCAUGCACACCGGCAAAAUCAAAAGGAGAAUUUGCAAUUACGAGAAAUGAUAUGGUGGCAUUGCUAAAUGCCAAGAACACAUGUACUAUAUUAUACAUUGGGAAAAAAGGAGGGCAUCUUUGGGAUUCAACAUUACUCUGACAGACUCUUGUGAUCGGCAGUAUAUGCAUGACGCAGUGCUUGUGGUUAGGUAUCUUCUUGGCAUUUGUUACCAACUCCAACAAGACAAAACAAUCCUCGUUGCAUGACAACCAAUGUUCCAGUUGUUCUUGGAGACUUGAAAAGUCUUCAAGAUAAAUUAAACAAACAAAAUCAUCUUGAAGUAUUUGGAAAUUAAAAAUUACCUUAAUCUGCAAAAGGGUUCUUAUAAUAGUGAUGUUUUAAAUCUGUUCUAAAAUCUUUAGCACACAUUUGAAGUAUAAAGUUCAUAAUCUUGUACCUGCAUCUAAUUUUUCUUAGUACUAAAUGACAAAUAUUGCUACAACGUAACACUUUUUUGAUAUGAUAUAUAUGAGAUAAAAAAAAAUUGAAAAAUGUGUUUAUAAUAUAAACAAAUAAAUUUGUGUAAAUAAAUAACUAUCCAUACAAACCCCCUAGUGUUUAUUAAUCACCAAGCAUUAUGUUUCUGUUUUAAUAAGAUAAGUAAGAAAGUGUAGUAGCAUAUGUUUCUGUAAUCUAAAACAUAGGCCUAAGAAUCUACAGCUUAAAUUUAUAUGAAGUUGUAAAGACUAAAGAAUAAAACCACAUGGUUCUGGUUAAGGUCGAAUUUGCACCACAUUCCUAGGGUUUUAUUCUAUUGUUGUUUCUGGUGAUAAAAUCAUACACAUCCAAGAUUACAACAUUCUACAUGUACUUAAUCCAACUGUUAAUGGAAUCUAAAGCAUUUUUAAUUUGUCCUAUCUGCUCUACUUCUCGUGGGCUGCAGAUGAUUUGAUUUUUGUUUAUGUGAUUUUCUUCUGUUGCAGAAUCGAAAUGCAUAUCGGGGCAAUGAAAAACAAAAGUUAAAUGAAUAGAAUUUAUACAUUUUUGUCAUUAUCAUACCUUUUUCAAUUUUAGAGAGUGGCUUUUCAGAGUAAUGUUUAGAACAACAUCAUGGAAUUUUAAAAGAACAUCAAUGCAGCAAGAUGGCUGUGAAAAUCGUUUGAACCUUUUGUUCUGAAAGUUUGCUAGAUAAAGGCUAUGAAAAUUGUUGUUUUGGUUUACAGUGAAAACGUGACAUUCAAAAAUGGGAGGAAGAAAGUUAGGUGCAAAAGCACAACACGAAUUUGACUUUAGGCAAAGACAAAAAAAAAAAAGAAAAAAAUGAUCUAUCAAAAAUGACUAAUAACGUACGAGGCCAUGAUAAAUAAAGCUUCUAAAGUUUUUUUAAAUCUACUUUCGACAAAAAGGUUCUUUGGGAAAAUUAAAAAAGUUACCUGACCCAUCCCAACUCCAAGAUGAUUACUUUUCUGCUUCAAAUAAAGAAAAAAAGACUAUUACUUUUCGAAUCAUAACGUCUCUUUAUUUCUAUCAGUAAUGUGGUAGUACAUAUUUUUUCACUUUUUCUUUGCAUCUUUUAUUGGAACUUGGGCUUCCAAUAGCGGAUCCCUACCUUUUUCAAUUAAAGAAAUUCACUAAUGAUGUAUUUUUUAUUAAUAUAUUGUAUUAAUGUGAAUAAUCUCAAGUUAGACUAGACAAAACAGGAGUGAAGACUUUGGUAUUUGUGCAAAAAAGUGAAGAGAAAAAGUUGUAAUCAUAUCAUAGAGUUGGAAAUCAGGGAUUGACCCACAUCCAGCUGCUGAAGAGACACACUCACCUUUCAGAUUGAUUGUACAAUUGGCCAGACUUUUUUUUUGUUUGGUUUUUACCAACUCUUACGUUACCCCUCUCCCCAUACAAAACUUGGAAACUGUUAAAUUGAAGUUGAACACGUUUCAUUAGUCGUGGCUUUCUUCUUCUUCUUCUUCUUUGAAAUCUUUUUAGUGAAUUGAUUCAUGGCAAUGACUGCCUUGAUCAAGAAAAUGGAAGUUGCUAUCGCAGUGGAAUGAAAGACAAGAACUCCAGAUUGUAUUAUUACUUUUUAGAGCUUUGAUCAAGAGUAUAUUAUAACAAUUUGAUGUAUAUCGAAUAAAAUAAUAAUUAAAAAUUAUAUUCGUAUAAAAAACAUAAAUUUUUUUUUUAGAAAAUAUCAAUCCAAAUGACGGGUAUGUCUUGCAUUGAAUGCACCAGAAGAAAGCACAUUAUCAAAAUGUUUAAAUUAGGCAAAUACUUGUGAGCAUAAUAAGCUUAAACCAAGUCAUACAAAAAUUAAGACAGCAUGUUGAAGUGCAAAUCUCUGUUUACUUCCCAAAAAAAAGGUGCAAAUCUCUGUGUAAUAUACUUCCACAGUUUCUCUCAUCUACUUGUCAUUAAACCCUUUCGACCCCAGCUAACAGUUUUUGAAGUUUAGUUCUACUGAGCUCCUUGUGUUUCAAAACUAAUGGAUGUUCGGUUAUUGCACGAGGGUUCUUCAUAUCCAUCUCAUCUUUAACCUGGUAACUUUUUGUCUUCCAUUAUUUGAUUACUUUGAGUUCAAAUGUAACAAAUGGAGAUCCUCUUUUGCACUAUUGCUAUAGAACUUCCUCAGAGAAGAAUUAUUUGACAAUCAUGACAGGAUAGUAGAUAAAAAGUUUGCAUCUUUGUCAACUUUUGAAAAGAGGCCACCAUCGCUGAAUGCAGCUUUCUCAAUGUGAUAAUUGAUAUCAACCACUUCAAUAUGCUGGCAAAACAGAAGACUCCACUUGAGAAAAACAUAAUCGAGUGGGGGCCGAAUGUUUCAAUUAUGAGGGAGGCACUGUCGUCUAACGAAAUUCUCACUCUCUAGACCACAUGUUCUUACUCCCUUCCCUUUUGCUCCCUUUUGCUUAGUAAGGUCUGAUAAGGUUUUUGUGCUUGCUAGCCCUUGACACAAAAGCUCUUUAGACUCCCCUUCCCCUGUAGCGUAGGAUAGAUAUGUUAUAUAAUAGUUGUCGUUUUCGAAAAAAAAAAAAUCACGUGUUUUUGUGGAUGAAAGUUCAAAGGUUCAAAUCUUACUCCCCAUCAAAAGUUAUCACUUAACGUGAUUAUUCUUAAAUUCAUAUGUGUGUCUUUUCACCCGUAUAAUCUGAUCAGUUUCCGUCGAUUCCCUGUGAUUCUAUUAGAUCACCCCCUUAAUAUAAGUUAAAGUAGAAGUAGGUGUACAUGAUGACAAUAGACAAAAAAAAAAAAAAGACUUUUCAUCUGGUGAUUAUAUACGAAGUCUUCAAUAUAUACGUAUAGUCAUGAAUCUCAUGAUUAAACUUUUCUUCUCAAUUAGAGCAUGUAACAAGAACUUUUCAACUAUUCUUUGCUUAAAUAUUCACUGAAUUAAGAAGAACACUGGUUAGACUACUUAGGAGUACGCGAUCCAACAAACGAUUCUUUAUGUUGUUGCACCAAUCGGUAUCAAGUAGAAGCUAUACAGAUGAUGUGCAAGAAUUUUAGUUCUAGUAAUGUUAAGACUGCAAUUUGUUUCCCUUUUGUUUGUUGGGCAGAUAAGUCCUAUCAUGUCUAAGUAUGUUGAACAAAUGAGAAGAUAAGCUUCAUGGUUUCUCUCUGUUACAAUCAAGUUUAACAUGUACAAAAUUAGCACAAAAAAUGAGCAGCCAGCUAAUAAAUUUGCACAUUGGAACCUUUCUGCAUCCUGCUUAAAAUUUUUUUUUAAGUGACAAUAGUUAUAAUCUAUUUUAUCCUACUUUAAAGGGAGAGGGAGCAUAAUUGUGCUAUAUAAUGGGUUAGAGAGGAAAGACUCAUCAAAACCAGAGAUAUACAUUAUUAUACCUUCGCUGAAUUUUUCUAAUUGCAAAUAGGGAAUUCGAACACUCGACCUCCGACCCGUGGGAAAUUUAGAUGGCUAACUUAUCAAAGCAGGUUAGUCUUUUCUCCAUCUUACUGAUGGACGAUGGACUAAAAAUGAGAAAAAGAAAUCACUGCAUUGCACAAAAAAGUAGUAUUUGCUCGUCUUCUAAUCUGCCACUUCGAAAACAUUUGUUUCAUUAGCCAAUGACUUGCAGUAAUGACAUUACAAAUAGAUGUUAGAAUAGUCCCAAGAAUUCUCAAUUGCACAAUCACCAAAACUGAUAAUAUUCAUUUUUGUUAAAAGAAAAAUGUUUCUCAUCUAAUGGCGGAGCCAAGAUAUAUAUAUAUAUAUAUAUAUAUAUAUAUAUAUAUAUAUAUAUAUAUAUAUAUAUAAGGGGCAGCUCGUGAAUGUUGUAUAUAAAUAUCUUGUAAGUUUUAAACAGAAUUUUUUGCUGUAUUAUUGAUUUGGUUCAAUGCCCUUUGUGCAAACUUAAGAGGAUCCAAAGAUUCUCAGCAAAUACAUGAUAACAUUGGUCCAGAGAAUUGCAAAUUUUCAUACGUCUCGAAAUGCAUUAAUUCUCCUUCGUCUGUCACUUCCCAACUCUUUUUUUUUUUUUUUCUGUUUCUUAAUUGGAUAUGUUAAUCUGACUCAAACAUGAGGGACGUAAUAAUGAUAUUUCAGGGGAGAUAAGUGCAAUUUAAACCUACUAAUUUUUUUUAUCAUCUAUUUUGUUAUUUUAUCGAUAGAAGGAGCCAUCUGACAGAUCAUGGAAGAUGGCUUGCAUUGGGCCUGGAAUCUCGAAAGUUACGUUUUCUUCUGCCUUGUCUGAAAUUUUUGGCCCAACCUUCUUCAGUCUGGACCAGUGCACUUUUAACCAAUGGCAAGGAGCCUUAUUGAUGCAACGAUAUCAGACUAUUUUUUUCUGAUAACAUGGCCUACAUGAAGAAAUCCCAUUUGUUUUGGGCGCAUGAAUAAAUAAAUUGAUAGGACAUUAAAAAGUUUCAGUAAUUUUAAUUUAUUUUUGAAGCCAUAUAGAGUGUGUUUGGAUAUGAGAUUAUCUGGAAAAAAAUUAUUUGAGAUGAUACUGUAGCAUUUUUUGUGAUGUGAUGUGAUGUAUGUGAGAUAAAACGGUAGUUAAAAGAUGUGUUUAUGAUGCAAGCAAAUAAUAUUUGCAAAUUUUUUUAGUUCUUGAGAUAUUUUUACUUAACUGUUUGCCAACCUCAAACUUGUAUCGAAACCACAACUCUCUCGUGCAUGGCUUGCUAUAAGAUAUAACCGAAAUCAAUGGUGGUACACUUGGCAAAAAUUAGUGCUAUGAUUUUAUGGGUGCAAAGAAUUUUGGGCAUGCCUAAAUAUGAAUUAGAAGGAAUACUAUCAAAUUCCCAGCUAGGGGAAGGAAAUAAUCAAGUGUCAAUGAAGAGUAAAUCUUCAAUCUUUGGAAUGAUAUUCUCCUUAUCAUUUCCGUCGGUGUAUUUUUCUUGUUCACUUGUGCGAACUCCUUUAAUUUCCCCAGCCGACAUGAUUGAUCUAACGUGAAAUAGGUGGCUAACGUGCAGUCCCUUAGUACACAGAUGAUUGAAAAGGUUGAUGGUCCCUUAGGUGGCUAAUGUGUGGAUGAACUGAGUUUGAGUGGGUAAACUGCUGUCUGGGACUGGCAUUGUCAUGUAACAAAAUUCCAACUCGAAAGACUUUUCUCUAGUGGCAUUGUCAUCGUGUCACGUCACUUUUCUCUAGUUUUUCUUUUUACUAGUCCACUACUUUGGAGUUUGGGCUAUACAAUCCAUCAAUUAUCGUUCAAAUUAUUGUGGCUCUAAGUCUCAAUUAUCGGUCAUUAUCAAGUUUUUGAUCUUUCUAAGCCGUUACUUUUGACUAUACAAUCCAUCAAUUAUCGUCCAAAGCUACACAUUUGAUGUGCUAGAUUUUUUUUUUUUUUUAAUUUUGAAAAAAUGUGCUAGAUUUUCACUUCCACAAUUGAGACCGCAUAGUUUUUUUCACUUGUAAGCAUGAGACUGGAUAUUUCAAUCUUUUGAAAAGUCCACGUUUAUUCUAUUUCAUUUCCAAGUUCCAACGGUUCUAUAUAGUUUUAUUCAUGUCUUUCACAAAAAAAAAAAAAUUAUUUUAAAAGGAACGGAAUUGAUUUCUUACAAUUUUUACUUGUCAGUGGAAACAAAUACCUCGUUAGAUCUAGGGAAAUCAGAAAAAGAUGGACAUAUUCCAAUAUAACACGACAAGAUUAUACGACAUUUGUUAUAUUAUUGUCAACACAGUACCUGUUGUUGCCACGCAUGAUAGAAGAGGCUUCCCGUCCAUGUUUUUCCUAGAUACCACAUUGCUUAUUUUUUUUUUUUUUUUUUUGACGGAGUGGGUGUCCGGAUCAAGUCCUUAAAGGCGGCCUGACUAAUCCCACUUCGGCCCGGCCUAGCGCCCCAACCAGACCUAGCACGUUAGAUGCACGGAGAAGCCGAUGUUGCUGCGGAGAUUCGACCCGGGACAUGAGGAUCCGAGGAAGAGGCGCCAACCACCAGCCCAUUCACGUGGGGGCUCGUAUUGAAUACAACAAAUUUUCAUUCAUAAGUCUUAUUCUAGACCGAUUUACCCUUCCUAGGCAUAAUUGCUCUUUGCAGAUCCUAAGAUCUUCUAUAAUUCAAGAAAUCAAGUGUAUAAGAUAAUCUCAUUGUAUUAUCAUAAUUGGUAGUACUAACAAAUAAAGUUGUUACCAGUACGUAGCAACCAAAAACUAGAAACGACAUACAAGCGUCCCAAAAUUAACUUUUACCGUAGAAUUUUACAGAGAAUUAAGCCGGUCGUUAAAAAUAACCGUAAAAGCAUCCAUUCUUGGCUUGGAAAGGGAUAAGCCAACCUCAAUAUCUCCAUCUGAUUCUCUACUCCCACUAAGAGAAAUGGCCCCUGAAGUAUCAAUCGAAAUGAACUCGAACUUUUUAGGCUUUCCCCAUCCAAAAUCCAGAUUGUAAUAGUUAUACCUUGGUGAGCCAGCCACGGAAACAAGCCUGUCCAAAUUUAUACCUGCAGGCUCCAGCAACCACGUGUCAGCAUCAUCGAAGAGUGAAUCAUUGUUCUUCAAUCUCUGAUGAAUGCCCUCCCCGAUUAACUCAACUGCAACUGGAAAUCCUUCUUCUCCAAUUAACUUUCCAUUUUUUUCAUUUUUCCUAAUAAGUGUUUGGCAAUUGCCAAAAUAGUUGGAAGGUAAAGGUGGAUCCAUACGUCCUCUACAAUCAGCCAGGCAAUAAAAGUGUUCCGCCUCUUCAUCAUCCACAGGUUCUCCACUUGGACCACGACAUUUUACCAAGCAAGUCCAAACAUGGGCACAAAUUACCGUAAAUGAUGAUAAAUGAACUAAUUGUGGCCGUUUUUGCAGGGCUAACCUCUUGAGUUUUUCAAUAUUGUUUCUGCUAAUAACAAAAGAUCUGCGAACUUUGUCUGUUUUGGUCAUAGGUUUUGCUGUAAUAUCAGUAGAACUCUCAUUUUGAAAAAGCUUUAUGAAGACGACCCCUUGGUCCCAAAAAAUUGAGCUAAGUCCCUUUGGGUCUUUGAUCAUAGUCCUAUCGUAACAUGGUGGAGAAUCACUUACUAGAGUUGCUGCAACAUCAUCUCUGUCGAUAUUAUCUUCGAGACAUUUGGAGCAUAAAGCAGCCCACGUCUUCAUAAAUCUGAAAACGCUGCCGGCAUCUCCGACAGUGUGGUGGUUUGAGAUUCCAACAGACAUUCCACAGUCUGGAAAUAAUGUAACUUGAAGAGCAAGAACCGGGGUAGUCCAGGCUGUGGAUCCGGAAUCAUCCCGAUUAGAUGGUUUCAAUUCAGGAAUCAAAGGAUGAAAAUCACAACAAUUCCGUGCAUGGUUUGCUGUAAGAUAAUUGAAAUCAGUCGUGGUACACUCGGCAAUGAUUAGUGCUAGUGAACUUCCACUUUUGUAACGAAUUUCGGGCGUGCCGGAAUUUGAAUUGGAAGGAACUAUCAAAUUCCCGGCUAGGGGAAGAAAAUGUUGGAGUGUCAAGGAGAGCGAAUGUUCAAGCUUAGGAAUGAUGUGCUCGAUGAAAUGUGCUCUAGAGAGCUGAGGUACUUCAUAAAGGACGAGGCGUUCAAUAGGGGGAAAGUGCAACCAGUGCAUAUCAAGGAAUGUUAAAGGAAGAGACAUUGCAGUGACCGCCGCAGACGACGGCGGUGACACUAAAGAGUACUUAAGCACGGUGACUGCAUCGGGUGUAGCCAUUUUACCUUCGUUGGUGCUAUAUUGCGUGUUUGAUCGAAAGAUGUUCUUUUAUUAAGAAAACAAGGAAAGAUGUUUUCUUUCCUCUUCUCUACUUUAUUUGGUGUAGUUAGCGAAUGGAUAUAUGAGCUCGUCUGUGUGGUCAAGAGUGCAGAAUGGAUAUAUAUCACACAUCUGAAUAGUCGCCAGCGGCCUUCGGCCACGUAGCAAAGGGGCCCACCUAUCCUCCCACUCGCCUGUCGACAGACAUAAGAUGUUGGAUCCUUUUGGCACGUGUGUGUAAAUAUAUAUAUAUAUCUUACAUAUAUAUAAAAACCUAAGAAGGUUUCUUCUCCCACGUUGAUCCACGUUGCAAAACAUGGAGAAGAGCAGC